UGGUGAUAUUUAUAAAUUAUAAACUAUUAUCUUAAUCUUAUUUUUAUAUAAUACCUUCUUUACACUGCACACUAUAGAGUUCAUUGCUACUUUAAUACUUUAUAUCUAUUCGAGUAUGAUAUAUUGAUGUGACAAAUGUUAAUAAAUAAUAAUUAAACACGAGUGAGAGUUGUUAUUCCAUAAUCCGUAUUCGGUAGACCGUAGACGGUAUUUCGGUGUCGUGUCGGAUUAGUCGAUGGUAAUUUUUAAGUCAAUAGUUUAUAUCCGUAUUGAGUUAAUGGGUACAUAAUAUUAUUAUUCUUCUGUAAUAAACUUAUGUAAAUAUGUUUUGCGAUGAAAAUAUACCUAUAAACCUGUACCUUGGCCGACUUCCAACAAAUAUUUUACAAUUCGGCCCCAAUUCUACAAUCCGGAAAUGGGAAAAAUAUUUAUUUAAAAUGUAAAUUACCUAUGUGUGGGAAACUAUUAUCAACAUCUAAGAUAAGUUCGUCUAACUUAAAGAAGCACUUAAAAGUAGGUAAGUAAUAUUAAAAUGAAAAUUAUAUGGAACACAACAAGUAAACACUUUACAACCUUUUUAAUUUUUUUUACUGAAAUUCAAGCAUUUUAAUGUAUAAAAAAUGUACCUACCUAACAAAAAAUACUUAAUUUAUUUUUCUGAUAACGAUUAACGACUAACAAGCGAUACUUUUCGUCGAGGUCCUGACUUGCAAGUCUUCUUAAAAUGUGCACUAGAUGAAGAUAAAUCAAAGAAUAAUAAACAAAAAUCACUAUCCAUCAUUAAUGCGUUUUCUCAACCUCCGACAAUUAAUCAAGGUACCCAGUGGCGUGCUCAGGAAUUCUCGAUGGGAGGAGUUGUAGCAAAUAAAAAUCAUGAAUAAACCAUAAAAUUGACUCAUCUACCCAACUUGACAAUAGGAAUUGGUAAUUUAAAAACCGAAUCCUAAAAAAGGCAAUUUCUAAUCAAUAUAACGAGCUUUUCCCCGGCUGAAAUAUAUGCGUUUCGAUAUUAGAUUACGCAGAUUUUUUUUAUAUUUUCAAGUGAAUGAGAGAGGGUAUAACCUCUAACCUCCCCCCUGCACAAGCCACUGUAGGUACUUACCAACUAUAUCAUAAUAUAAUACCUACCUAUAAUAAAUGUGUAUAGUACUAAUAUGUGUA